UACGGGGGGAGCAAGCGUUGUUCGGAUUUACUGGGCGUAAAGGGCGCGUAGGCGGCCACUGCAAGUCAAUUGUGAAAUCUCCGGGCUUAACUCGGAAAGGUCAACUGAUACUGCAGGGCUAGAGUGCGGAAGGGGCAACUGGAAUUCUCGGUGUAGCGGUGAAAUGCGUAGAUAUCCGGAGGAAGACCGGUGGCGAAGGCGGCCUGCUGGGCAGUUACUGACACUGAGGCGCGACAGCGUGGGGGAGCAAACAGG
rnacentral:rRNA from 1 species